UACGGAGGGGCGAGCGUUAUUCGGAAUUAUUGGGCGUAAAGGGCGCGUAGGCGGCUUGACAAGUCAAAGGUGAAAUCCCUCGGCUCAACUGAGGAACUGCCUUUGAAACUGUCUGGCUUGAAUCCGGGAGAGGGAUGCAGAAUUCCAGGUGUAGCGGUGAAAUGCGUAGAUAUCAAGAGGAACACCUGCGGCGAAGGCGGGUUGCUGGGCCGACACUGACGCUGAGGCGCGAAAGCUAGGGGAGCGAACGGG
rnacentral:rRNA from 1 species